CCCAUUGUCAGAAAAUAAGAACAUUUUUAAGUUGAUGUUAUAUGCCACAGAUGUUAGGCAAUUUGUGCUAUUGCCUCACACAUUGCAUUUGUUAAAAUAAUGUUGCUUUUACCUUACCUAAUAGGUGCUUUCUGCCUUACCUGAAUUGAUCUUGUUAUGUAUGCUAGUAAAUUAUUCUAAUACCAGGUUAACAAUAUUGACAGAAAUCAUUGAGCUUUUGUGUGUUGUGUGUAUGUGUGUGUAUGUGCACUCUAUGUUUGAUGAUGCAAAACUGAUGAUUAAGGCUUUAAUUAUUUGGUGGAACUCAGUCUACUGAUUCAAAAACUAUGGAUCCAAUAUAAGUUAUUUUAAUGUAGAUGAAACCUUAAAGUAUAUGGAACUAUGUAUGGAUGGAAAGCAACAUUGACUUUUGGCAUAUGCUUAAAGCUCUAAGAAUAGGCCAGAUUUCUCAUGUAAAGGCAGCUAGUUCUUCUCUGUAUCACGUCUUUAAGGUUGAGUACCUUGUCAUGUGUUUUUAUCCCUGUAUUUCUGCUUCUCCAAGGAAUUAUGGUGUCCAGAUGAAGAGCCAGCACUUCUCCUUAUAGAAAAGAAAUGCUGAAUGAGUGUCCAUUUCAAAAACUUUCUCAUUGCUUCACAUCAAGAAGUGAUUUUUCAGUCAUGAAAAUAAUUUAGCCAAACAACCUGUUUGGAAGAUAGUAAUGUUAAAUUUUCAUAUAUGAAGCACUGACCAGUUGAAUAACCAUUCAUCUACAUUCAUCUGCGAAGCAUGAUCAAAUGGUAGGUUGGAAUUUGAAACUUAUUGAUAGAAAGGUGUUUAAAAAUAUUUUUAAAGUUUUAUGCUUUAAAUUUUCAGUGACAUUGAAAGUAUCUCUUUCAAAUGAAACAAACUACAGCAAGGAAUCCAUCCUUUCUUCUAAGAAAAUCCAAAAAUCCCACAAGCCCCAGUCAUUCUGAUAGAAAAAAAGUAUGGCUUCUCACCAGUUUCACUUCUCUGACUAAAUAUUAAUAAAGGAAAAGUAACCAGAAAUUCUCUCUACCAUAAUAAGGAAAAAGGAAUGACUUUUACAUCAAGAUCUAAAUGACCUCUGGUUUCAUUGUGAAGUCCGUGAUACUAAGAAGAAAAAACUUCAGAGCUGAGAACUGGGAGCCAAUACUACAUAGAACUCAAAGCAUAUUCCAAGACACUCCUUCAUCUCAGUGAGAAACCAAUUUAGAUAUUAGCUACUCUGGACUAAAAUGACAUAGUGGAUCCAUAUUUCAGCCCUCUUUCACUUACUGUCUUGAGCACUUACACAUGUUUCUGAAUGUGAAUUAGUCUUUAGGGAUUAGAAACUGCUGCUUAAAUACCUUUUGAAGAGAAGGAUUUUUAUUCUAGUGGUUUUGUUCCCUAUAGAAUAGCAAAAUACUCUAAUGUUUAUUAAUGUGAAAUUAAAAAUAACUUUAAAAUGUUCUUUUUGUGAAUAUCACUUGUUGGUUGAUAGAAUUUCUCCUGCCACCUCUCUUUUUAAAAUUUUCAAUGCGUUAUUUUUAUGACUCAAAUCUAUAUGUUUCACCUUAGCUAUUUAUAAGUGUAAUCUAGUACUAUAGUGUUG
ensembl:lncRNA